UCUCUGCGGUGUUUGGAAAGUGUGGCGGCAUGUGGUUUGUACGUGGAUGACCCAUUUCUUGCUUAGGAAUAGUUAAUGGUUAUUCUACACCCUGACUCACAAGGCUGCACAGAGAUUUGUUCGCGGAUCGGCGACACGACACAAGACGUUGCGGUCCAAGUUUACUUACGAUGGAUGAGUUGACCUUGAAUGAACGUCUCUACGAUUUGCGGAAACCCUUUAAACUCGCAUUUUGCGCGCUGAAAGAGCAGAAAGAGGCCUGGGAAGAUUGUAUGGAAAAAGCCCGACCUCAUCUGGUAGCAAUCGUCACACUGCGGGAAAUACAGGCAAACUGUUGGGCGGCGAAACUUACGGGCACCGAUCUCUUGGCAAAAUACCCAGAUGUCCGAGUACGGAUCGUCCGUAGAGUGGAAAGCGAGCUGUUCCAGGAGAAGGAAAAGUUGGAAUCAAUACUAAAAACCUUGAAGAAGUCUCAGAACGUUUGUAGCAGUGCUUGCCAGCAAGCAGUUGAAGCUUACGACCAUCUUGCGAAAAGUCGAAGUAUUGAAGAUGUUUGUUACAGAAGUGAAACGUGUCCGUCGGUGGCUGAUAUGCUGGAAUGGAUGACAUGUACAGAACAGCACUUUAGUAGCCAUGUUCAUGCAAGAGAACUCUUGCUAGAAGAAGCAAAUUUUGGGGAUGACUUCAAGGCUGGUGCCUUUGUAAAAGAGUGGAAAGAUGACUCAGCUUUGAUUGAAUCAAUGAAUGAUGUCUUGGCAACAGUGAAGUUUGUAAUGGACAUGGUGUAGAUGUGCUAUACAAAUUGGCCUUCGGCAUUGUGCAGCAUCUCGGGUAUCAAGGAAGUGCAGCGUUUUAACCAGCAUGCCCGCCAUAUUUGCUGCUGCAGAAUACCGGGGCUGGGGUCUAACCCGUCUCUUCUGGCUGUGGACCACCUCCAGGCAAAUUUUGAGGGUGUCACGGUACUUGCUCAGCAUAACGGAGUGCCACGGAACGAGGCUUUAGCACCCCAAGAAUGAGCACCAGCCCAUUUGGACGUGCGCCCCGGAUGCGAAUGCCGGUUGCCGAGGGAAAACUGGAGAGUGCAUAGAGCCGACCAAGAUUCCGGCCGCGACAUCACCUGACCGCCAUUUUAGUAUGUGGAUGAUCUACGCGAAAACGGCCAAAGCGGCGAUGUCCAAUUGACUCUAGAGCACAAAAUGCACAGCCACUUCAUAUUCCCAUAGUCACAGUCAUUUUUAUUGAUCAGAAAAACUAUUGAGAAGUAGGUAAAAUAUGAUAGCACACUGAACAAUCACAUACUUUGGUGGCUUGGCCACUAUUGCGUUGCGCUGCGAAGCACUAGGCCGCUAGAGUAAAAUCCUGGUUGUGGUGACAGCAUUUAGCCCCAGGUGCCCAAACUUAACCCGGAGUCAUUGGCGUACCAACUAGUUCGCGAGCGGAGAGGGGGGGGGCAAGCCUCCCUCACAUCAUUGGCCACAUUGAUAUACAAACAUACAUAAAUGCAUACUAUAUAUAUGUAUAUCGAGAGAAUCGCACUCAAUUUGAAGCGAUUUUUCAUAUACAGAGAAAGAAUUCAGUGUUUCAUUACAAUAUAGAAGUAUAGUUAGUUAUACGUGGUAUACAUUGAGACAACCAUAUAUACGACUAGGGUAGCUGUUUGGGCUUGUUGGUUUGGCAUGACACAGGUUGAAAGCGCAAAAAAAGACGA
rnacentral:misc_RNA from 1 species